UGUAAUAACAUGUAAUCUGCACAUCAGGAUCACAAAGGCAAAUCUAUAAUUUCACUUGAUUUAUUUUCUUAAAAUGUGACAAUCCCACAUGUUGCUUGAAAUGAUGGAAGUUGGGACAAACAGGAAUGUGGGAGGUUUAUGAGCUGCGUCAGCCAAGUCUUGGGGAUCCCUCCUCUUCCGUGCCUGGAAGAUAGGCCUGAGCAAUUUCCCCUUUUACUGCAGCAAUAUCUCCUCUGCAUUCAGCAGAAAGACCCCCAACCUGUAAACAUAUUAGUAGGCGUGUUCGCUUUACAAGUGUGUAAAUUUCCCCACAGUGUGUACCUCCUGGGUCUGAGGCCCUGAUUAUUGGUGUAAGUAGCCUGUGCAGGAGAAAGCUCCAGUGUGGUCUAGAUUUGUGCCCACUGGAGGGUGGUGGACAGGCUGGGGGAUUUGAAAACACAGUAGCAGACAUUUUCUCUCACCAGCAGGCAGGAAUCCACUCACAUGAAAUAACACAAAAUGAUUGCCAAGGCCUGAGAGCUGUGACUCAGGGGCAAGAUGUACAGAUUCAGACUUACAAAACCAUCCAAGAGCCUCUUCAGGCCCAAGGGAAACUUAGCUCCCAUUGCCUGCUGCCUUUUGCCACUCUUCCUUCUCCUUUGACAGGUGACUUCAUGUGGAACACAAUAAUAACCAUGGUUAUUGGAAGCCUGGUAUGUGGUAGAGGUGCACUAAUCCAGCUCAUUGACCACCUCCAAGCCAUCCCUCACUGGGUCCACAGGACCUGAGCUCUCAUCAAGCAGUAGUAUCAGGCUACAAGAGUCCUCAUGAACCCCAAAUCAGGCUCCCUUUGGGAUGAAAGAGAUUUCUGAGUGUGUGGGUGUGGAGACUCAACCUUCAGGUCAAAGCUUUCCCCAAGUGAUCUCCUCCUCCCUCUCCAACUGCUUCUUCUCCAGUUUCCUAGGUAAAUUCAGCCCCAUCUGGAUUGGCCAGUCCACAUAGUUAGACUAUCUCACAAUUUGUGUCUUACUUAUACCUUUUUCCCC
rnacentral:lncRNA from 1 species